GGGUUAAAAUUAAAUAAUUUAGUAAUAAUAAAAUAAAUUUUAAAAAUAUUUUUAUGGGGGUUAAAGUAUUUAUAAUAAAAAAUUUUUUUAUUUAUAGUGAAUUAGUAUUGUAAAAGAAAUUUGAAAUAAUAAUGAAAAUAAAAUUAAUUAAAAAGUAAUUUUAAUUUAAUGUAUCUUGUGUAUCAGAGUUUAUUUAAAAAUAGUUUAGGAAUAAAAUUUCUCGAAUUAAAAAGAUUUAAUUAAUUAAUAAAUUUAUUGUGGAAUAAAUAUUUUAAAUAAUUAAUUAGAAAUGAAAAGUUAUUCGUUUUUUAAGAUAUCUAGUUUUUUUAGAAAAAAAUUUAAUUUUUAAUUAAUUUAUUAAAUAAUUAAUUAAUUAAUUAUUUAAAAAAUUAAUUUAAUAUUUUAGGGGAUAAGCUUUAAAUUAAAUUAUUAUAAAUAUUUUAAAUUUUAAUUAAAAAUUUUAUAAUUUAUAUUGUUAAUAAAUUUUAAUUUAUUAUAAAUAAUUUUAUUAAAAGAAAAAUUUAAUUUUAUUUUAAUUUUUUAUAAAAAAAUAUUUUUUAAUGUAAAAAAUUUAGUUAUAAUGAUAAAAUUAGUAUAUAAUUAUUAUAAUUUAUUAAAUAAUUUAAUAAAAUUUAUUAAAAGGAAUUCGGCAAAAAUUUAUAUUCACCUGUUUAACAAAAACAUGUCUUUUUGGUUAAUAAUUUAAAGUCUAAUCUGCCCACUGAUUUAUAUUAAAGGGCUGCAGUAUAUUGACUGUACAAAGGUAGCAUAAUCAAUAGUCUCUUAAUUAGUGACUUGUAUGAAUGAUUGGAUGAAAUAUAAACUGUCUCUUAAUAAUUAAUUGAAUUUAAUUUUUUAAUUAAAAAGUUAAAAUAUUUUUAAAAGACGAGAAGACCCUAUAGAGUUUAAUAAUUUUUUUUUAUUUUAUUAUUUUUGUAAAUUUUAAUUUAAAAUAAAAAAAAUUAUUUUAUUGGGGUGAUAGAAAAAUAAAUUUAACUUUUUUUUAAAAUUAACAUAGAUAAAUGGUUAUAUUGAUCCAAAAUUUUUGAUUAUAAGAAAAAAUUACCUUAGGGAUAACAGCGUAAUUUUUUUUUUUAGUACAUAUAAAAAAAAAAGUUUGCGACCUCGAUGUUGGAUUAAGAUAAAAUUUAAAUGCAAAAGUUUAAAAUUUUGAUCUGUUCGAUCAUUAAAAUCUUACAUGAUCUGAGUUCAAACCGGUGUGAGCCAGGUUGGUUUCUAUCUUUAAAUAAAAGUAAAUAUUUUAGUACGAAAGGAUCAAAUAUUUAAAAUAAUUUUAGUUUAUGAAUAUUAUUAAUAUUUUUAUAUAAAUAGAUGAUUUAUAAAG
rnacentral:rRNA from 1 species